UGGUAAAGGCUCGUUCUCUUUUUGGGACGAUAAUGACGGUACAAAAGGAGGAAGCACGGCUACUACGUGCAGCAGGCGCGGUAAUACGUAGGUGCAAGCGUGUUCGGAUUUACUGGGCGUAAAGGGAUGCGUAGGGCGGAUAUUUAAGUGAGAUGUGAAAUUCCCGAGCUUAACUUGGGAGCUGCAUUUCAAACUGGAUAUCUAGAGUGUGGGAGAGGAGAAUGGAAUUCCUAGUGUAGCGGUGAAAUGCGUAGAGAUUAGGAAGAACACCAGUGGCGAAGGCGAUUCUCUGGACCAUAACUGACGCUGAGGCAUGAAAGCGUGGGUAGCAAACAGGAUUAGAUACCCUGGUAGUCCACGCCGUAAACGAUGAGUACUAGGUGUAGGGGGGUCCAACCCUCUGUGCCGCAGUUAACACAAUAAGUACUCCGCCUGGGAAGUACGAUCGCAAGAUUAAAACUCAAAGGAAUUGACGGGGGCCCGCACAAGCAGCGGAGCAUGUGGUUUAAUUCGAAGCAACGCGAAGAACCUUACCUGGACUUGACAUCCCCUGAAUAGUGCAGAGAUGCAUGAAGCCCUUCGGGGCAGGGAGACAGGUGGUGCAUGGUUGUCGUCAGCUCGUGUCGUGAGAUGUUAGGUUAAGUCCUGCAACGAGCGCAACCCUUAUCAUUAGUUGCUACCAUUAAGUUGAGCACUCUAGUGAGACUGCCCGGGUUAACCGGGAGGAAGGUGGGGAUGACGUCAAAUCAUCAUGCCCCUUAUGUCCAGGGCUACACACGUGCUACAAUGGUAAGUACAGAGAGAUGCAAGACCGCGAGGUGGAGCUAAACUCAAAAACUUAUCCCAGUUCGGAUUGUAGGCUGCAACUCGCCUACAUGAAGCCGGAGUUGCUAGUAAUCGCGAAUCAGAAUGUCGCGGUGAAUACGUUCCCGGGCCUUGUACACACCGCCCGUCACACCAUGAGAGCUGGCAAUACCCGAAGUCCGUGAGGUAACCUGUAAAGGAGCCAGCGGCCGAAGGUAGGGUUAGUGAUUGGGGUGAAGUCGUAACAAGGUAGCCGUA
rnacentral:rRNA from 1 species